CGCGAAUGGCUCAUUACAACAGCUAUAAUUUACUUGAUCUUGACGCAUCCUACAUGGAUAACUGUGGUAAUUCUAGAGCUAAUACAUGCACCAAAGCUCUGCCCCCUCGGGGAAGAGUGCAUUUAUUAGAGCAAAACCAGGCGGCCCUCGGGCCGUUCCUCGUUGACUCAGAAUAACUCUAGCUGAUCGCAUGGUCCUCGUACCGGCGACGUGUCUUUCAAGUGUCUGCCUUAUCAACUUUCGAUGGUAGUGUAUCUGACUACCAUGGUUGUGACGGGUAACGGAGGAUAAGGGUUCGACUCCGGAGAAGGGGCCUGAGAAAUGGCCACUACGUCUAAGGAUGGCAGCAGGCGCGCAAAUUACCCACUCUCGGCAAGAGGAGGUAGUGACGAAAAAUAACGAGACCGUUCUCACAAGAGGCCGGUCAUCGGAAUGGGUACAAUCUAAACCCUUUAACGAGUAUCUAUGAGAGGGCAAGUCUGGUGCCAGCAGCCGCGGUAAUUCCAGCU
rnacentral:rRNA from 1 species